rnacentral:RNase_MRP_RNA from 1 species
UCACCGUGGGUCGGAGUGAGCGGGUCGUUUGACCCAGGAAAGUCCCCGGGCCAUCUCUGCAGAAAUGCAGCCCAGGAAACUGGGAAUGCUUCUUGCAUCGGAUCUUACUGUGCCUGGCGCAGAGGGCUGAGACAGGUGUGGAGCCCCUUGGUCCGGUGGGAAGUAACUUGGCCGAACCUCUACAGUUAUUCACUCGUACACAGAAGCCUGUGGAACCUACAGAACGGGGCUUAUGACUCAUGGUG